rnacentral:rRNA from 1 species
CCCUUAGAUGUUCUGGGCCGCACGCGCGCUACAAUGGUCUUCGCAAACGGAUGCAUUCUCGAAGGAGAAUGCCAAUCUUGGAAUCUAUGCCUUGGUCGGGACAGUUGCUUGCAAUUUUUCGACUCGAACCAGGAAUUCCUUGUAAUCGUGAUUCAUCACAUCACGAUGAAUACGUCCCUGUCCUUUGUACACACCGCCCGUCGCUCCUACCGAUCGAAGAGUUAGGUGAAUUGUUUUGAUCGAUAAGAUUUGACUAUGGUCAACUCUCGUUGUGAAAUUCUGUGAAUCUGACUGUUUAGAGGAAGGAAAAGUCGUAACA